CAUGCUGGGAAGUCUAGUUCUCCGUUAGAAGCGGAUUUGUUCCGGUGGAAAAAAGGUUGUUUUGCUCAACAACAAAGAAGCAGGGAACCACUUGGCCACAUGCUUCACAAGCGCUGGAAGUGUAUCAGACGCUCUGCAUGGGGUCUGAUUCGCACAAUACCACUCACACAUUCAUAACAAACAUUCAGUGUGUGCGGAUUGUGCACAUGACUGUCUGUGUGUCUUCUAGUUUGUCUAAAAUGGUUCCUGCUGAGUCUACAUCUUUGUCCAACUGUGUGUGUGUGUGUGAGCUGUGGCGAGUGGACCAUACCAUUGGAGUCAGCCUGGUCCAGCUGGCUGGAGCUGAAGGAGUGAGCCACACACAUGCUGAACUGUGACCUUAAGAGCGACAGAAGUAGAGAAGAGAAGAGAGCAAGGGAAGGAAAUAGGAAAAGGAAAUGGAGUUGCCCACUGGCUUUCCUAAGUUAAAAGUUUCCUGACAGUGAGGUUCUGCAUAUCACAGGCCCUAAUCACGGUGACGGGCAGCAGAGACGGAGAGGCUCUGUGACAACAAGCAGCUUCGAGUGAACUGCACGACGACAAGCGGAGGCCCUGCACGCUUUGAGCUCGAGCCGUCUUCACAUCCAACACAUACAGCGAUGGACGCGGCCCUAAUUUAAGCAGCACAAACAGUGAAAGCAGUCUUCAGGAAAGAGGCAGGCAGCAGACGGGAGCCUGUGCGGCCAUUCAAACCCUCACUUUGUGGCUGUGGGCCGAGAACAGCCUGCAGUACAUUUCCAUAACAGGAAAGAGGUUCCUCCCUGGAAAGAUGGGCAGUGCCACAGCUCCACCCACUGAACACCGCCACGUCUCAACUUGUGGGUGUGGGAGCAUCGUAUUGAAGCCUGUCGGGACCAGACGUGGACAGAUCCCCUCGUCAGAGGGCGGGAGCAGAAACAGAGAGGGCGGUGGGUAGAAGUAUGCAUAAUCUGCCGCACGGAAAGAUUUUAAUAACAUUUAGUUUAACCUCAUUAAUUUAAGAAACUGUUAUGACAGUGGUGGAGUCCAGUGAGUAAUUUCUCUGUCUGGACAAGCAGACUCACAAGUCCAUUUACCUAAUUAAAAAAACAAACCAGCAGUCGCUGUGACUCUCAUGUUUACUGCUCUGUGAUGGAGGGGGAUAAAAUACAAGCAGCAGUAGAAAUGCAAAUACUGUAGCAGGCAGAAGCUGGAGGGAAAGAGGCAGAGGACAAAGAAAGGAGACGGAGAUAAAGAGAUAAAAUGAUGACGGUUAUUGAUGGAGCUUUUCAUGCAUUUAAGUAAGUGCAUGUGCAACAUAGAUGUCCACUGUGCUUUGUUUAUUAUUGUGCCGCAUUUGCAUUUAAACUAAAUCUACCAAUUCAGUUGCACGCUUAAAGCUUAAAUGUAUAUAUUAUGUUAUACACAGUUUAAUCAUUGUCUGCUGUUUAUAAACCGUAUAUUAGAGCGACAGUUCAAUUACAUUUCUAAUAAUGCUUGUUUAUUCAGUUCUUUUAUAUUUGACACAAGGGUUAUUGAUAUUUAGUAUUUUUCCCCAGGGAUCAAUAAAGUAUUUUUAAUUCUGAUUUUAUAUAAUUUGUUGUCCCAAAACGACGAGACGAGUUGUAAGUAGUUCAUAAAAUGUAUCAUAAAAAGUCAUUUUUUUUGCUUGCCAAAUAGUGAGCUCACGUGCAUCAGCAUUGCCAAGCCUCAGAUCUCGUAGCAUCCUUUUCCAUCCAUUUACACCUGUCACCACCAAGUUAUCAUGACACUGUUGAAGGUCCGGUGUGUAAGAAUUAGAGACGUCUCGGUGUGAAACGACAACCGCAAGACAACUUUGCUCACAUGUGCCUUCCCCACUAAACCGUGGCCUUCGCCUACCAGAGAGGAUGUUGGUGUUCCGCAUUUGCAUAGCAAGCUUUCAUGUAGAAUAUGAAACACACACUCUGGCUGCUUUAUCUGAUCGGGCUGCUGUAGAAAUAUUGCCAGGUCGUAAGACCUACUCUAGGCCUGUGUGACGCUCCAGCUUAAAAUAAGGCAACAUUUGUUUUUCCUGCCAAUAAACCGUCCUACAUGCUACUCACGGGACCUUUAACACUUUAUAUAAUGAGCAAAUUAAUAUAUAUAGAUAAUAUAUUAUACUCUGCUAUAGCAGAUAAGUUCUAUAUAAGUUAUAAUUGUUGCCAUUUUUGAAUAGGAGUGAGCGGUUCGUAAGAUUAACCCUUUAACACCGAGCGUUUCGCCGCCGACGUGUUUGCACAAGCGCACGUUGCAUCGCCGUAGUUACGCGACAGUUUGUGCUAUCCGAAAAAUUCCAGCGGUUUCUAAAAGCUGCAAAAGUUGCACGUCAAAGCCAGCGGGUGGUUAUUACAGUUAUUACGGUCAUUUCAUUCGCGCUGUUUCAAUGAAGCUGGAGAAUGGAGAGUGGGAACACAUCCAUUUUUUUUCCAUUUUUUGGCCUGUUUUUGCACAUUGAGAGACAA